rnacentral:rRNA from 1 species
UGGGGAAUUUUGCGCAAUGGGCGAAAGCCUGACGCAGCGACGCCGCGUGUGCGAUGAAGGCCCUUGGGUCGUAAAGCACUGUCGGUCGGGACGAAAACUAACGGACUAAUACUUCGUUAGCUUGACGGUACCGGCAAGGAAGCACCGGCUAACUCUGUGCCAGCAGCCGCGGUAAUACAGAGGGUGCAAACGUUGCUCGGAAUUAUUGGGCGUAAAGGGCGCGUAGGUGGCUGGGUAAGUGUGCGGUGAAAGCCCGGGGCUCAACCCCGGGCUCUGCCGUGCAGACUGCUUGGCUCGAGCAUAGUAGAGGCGAGUGGAAUUCCGGGUGUAGCGGUGGAAUGCGUAGAGAUCCGGAAGAACACCGGUGGCGAAGGCGGCUCGCUGGGCUAUUCCUGACACUGAGGCGCGACAGCGUGGGGAGCAAACAGGAUUAGAUACC